rnacentral:rRNA from 1 species
AGAUCUAGCUUGCUAGAUGCUGACGAGUGGCGCACGGGUGCGUAACGCGUAUACAAUCUACCUUUAACUGAGGGAUAGCCCAGAGAAAUUUGGAUUAAUACCUCAUAGUAUUAUAAUUAGGCAUCUUUUUAUAAUUAAAACUUCGGUGGUUAAAGAUGAGUAUGCGUACUAUUAGCUAGUUGGUAAGGUAAAAGCUUACCAAGGCAACGAUAGUUAGGGGGCCUGAAAGGGUGAUCCCCCACACUGGUACUGAGACACGGACCAGACUCCUACGGGAGGCAGCAGUGAGGAAUAUUGCACAAUGGAGGAAACUCUGAUGCAGCCAUGCCGCGUGCAGGAAGAAUGCCCUAUGGGUUGUAAACUGCUUUUAUACAAGAAGAAACCUCGGUACGUGUACCGACUUGACGGUAUUGUAUGAAUAAGCACCGGCUAACUCCGUGCCAGCAGCCGCGGUAAUACGGAGGGUGCAAGCGUUAUCCGGAUUUAUUAGGUUUAAAGGGUCCGCA